rnacentral:rRNA from 1 species
UACGAAGGGGGCUAGCGUUGCUCGGAAUCACUGGGCGUAAAGCGCACGUAGGCGGCUUGUUAAGUCAGGGGUGAAAUCCUGGAGCUCAACUCCAGAACUGCCUUCGAUACUGGCGAACUUGAGUCCGGGAGAGGUGAGUGGAACUCCGAGUGUAGAGGUGAAAUUCGUAGAUAUUCGGAAGAACACCAGUGGCGAAGGCGGCUCACUGGCCCGGUACUGACGCUGAGGUGCGAAAGCGUGGGGAGCAAACAGG